rnacentral:rRNA from 1 species
CAGCAGCCGCGGUAAUACGAAGGGUGCAAGCGUUACUCGGAAUUACUGGGCGUAAAGCGUGCGUAGGUGGUGGUUUAAGUCCGUUGUGAAAGCCCUGGGCUCAACCUGGGGAUUGCAGUGGAUACUGGGUCACUAGAGUGUGGUAGAGGAUAGUGGAAUUUCCGGUGUAGCAGUGAAAUGCGUAGAGAUCGGAAGGAACAUCUGUGGCGAAGGCGACUAUCUGGGCCAACACUGACACUGAGGCACGAAAGCGUGGGGAGCAAGCAGGAUUAGAUACCCGAGUAGUCCCUGUCUCUUAUAC